rnacentral:rRNA from 1 species
UACAGAGGGGGCAAGCGUUGUUCGGAAUUACUGGGCGUAAAGGGCGCGUAGGCGGCCUUCUAAGUCGAACGUGAAAUCCCCGGGCUCAACCCGGGAACUGCGUCCGAUACUGGAAGGCUUGAAUCCGGGAGAGGGAUGCGGAAUUCCAGGUGUAGCGGUGAAAUGCGUAGAUAUCUGGAGGAACACCGGUGGCGAAGGCGGCAUCCUGGACCGGUAUUGACGCUGAGUGAGCGAAAGCCAGGGGAGCAAACGGG